GCACUCACUUUGGCAGCCCAUAUACUAAAACUGGAACAAUACAGAGAACAUUAGCAUGGCCCCUGUGCAAGGAUGACAGGCAAAUUCAUGAAUGUUUCAUAUUAAA